GAUGAACGCUGGCGGCGUGCUUAAUACAUGCAAGUCGAGCGAACAGACGAGGCGCUUGCUCCUUUCACGUUAGCCGCGGACGUGUGAGUAACACGUGGAUAACCUCCUUAUAAGACUGGUAUCACUUCGGAAAACCGGCGCUAAUCCCGUAUAAUCUCUUGAUCCGCAUGGUUCAUUAGUGAAAGACGGUUUUGCUGUCACUUAUCGAUGGAUCUCCGCUGCAUUAGCUAGUUGUUAAGUUAACGGCUUACCACGGCAACGAUGCGUAAACGACCUGAGAGACUGAUCGGCGGCACUGGAGCUGGAACACGGACCAGGGGACUACGGGAGGCAGCAGUAGGGAAUCUUCCGCAGUGGGCGAGAGCCUGACGGAACAACGGCGCGUGAGUGGUGGAAGUGUUCGGAGCGUGAAAAUCUGUUAUGAGGGAAAAACAAAUGUGUAAGUAAAUAUGCACGUAUUGACGGUAACUAAUCAGAAAGCCACGGCUAACUACGUG
rnacentral:rRNA from 1 species